rnacentral:rRNA from 1 species
ACAGAGGGUGCGAGCGUUGUCCGGAAUCACUGGGCGUAAAGGGCGCGUCGGUGGCGACCCAAGUCCGUGGUGAAAGCUCGUCGCUUAACGACGAGUCGGCCACGGAGACUGGGUGGCUUGAGCACUGUAGGGGCUAAUGGAAUUCCGGGUGUAGCGGUGGAAUGCGUAGAGAUCCGGAAGAACACCAGUGGCGAAGGCGGUUAGCUGGGCAGUUGCUGACACUGAUGCGCGACAGCGUGGGGAGCAAACAGG